rnacentral:rRNA from 1 species
AUUGAACGCUGGCGGCAGGCCUAACACAUGCAAGUCGAACGAGUGGCGGACGGGUGAGUAAUGUCUGGGAAACUGCCUGAUGGAGGGGGAUAACUACUGGAAACGGUAGCUAAUACCGCAUACCAUCAGAUGUGCCCAGAUGGGAUUUGCUGGUUGGUGGGGUAACGGCUCACCAAGGCGACGAUCCCUAGCUGGUCUGAGAGGAUGACCGGCAACACGGGAACUGAGCCACGGUCCAGAUUCCUACGGGAGGCAGAAGUGGGGAAUAUUGCAAAAUGGGCGAAAGCCUGAUACAGCAAGGCGGCGUGUAUGAAGAAGGCCUUCGAGUUGUAAAGUACUUUCAGCGGGGAGGCGUUACCCGCAGAAGAAGCACCGGCUAACUCCGUGCCAGCAGCCGCGGUAAUUC